rnacentral:rRNA from 1 species
UACAGAGGGGGCAAGCGUUGUUCGGAAUUACUGGGCGUAAAGGGCGCGUAGGCGGCCCGCUAAGUCGAACGUGAAAUCCCCGAGCUCAACUCGGGAACUGCGUCCGAUACUGGCGGGCUUGAAUCCGGGAGAGGGAUGCGGAAUUCCUGGUGGUAGCGGUGAAAUGCGCAGAUAUCAGGAGGAACACCGGUGGCGAAGGCGGUUCUCUGGGCCUGUACUGACGCUGAGGAACGAAAGCGUGGGGAGCGAACAGG